rnacentral:rRNA from 1 species
CUUAGGCAAUCUACCUUCAAGAGGGAAACAACCUGCCGAAAGGCGGGCUAAUGUCCCAUAAGACCACAGGGAUGCAUAUUCCAGGGGUCAAAGCUCCGCAAGGGGCGCUAGAAGAGGAGCCUGAGUCCUAUCAGCUAGUUGGUGAGGUAAUGGCUCACCAAGGCUUUGACGGGUAGCCGGCCUGAAAGGGUGAUCGGCCACACUGGCACUGAGACACGGGCCAG